GCAUGGGUCUUACCAGUCAUGUGCAUCUGCAGCCUCUUCACAUGAUGGGGAUUUGUGGCUCCACAAAUGGCUCUGACCAUUCCUGUGUGCCUGGCAGCUCAAUCCUCUGCCCAGCUUGAGGACUGCUGCGUGAUUGGUCAGUGUAGGCUGCAAGGUUACCCCCAUCCCUGGAUGGAAUCCAACCUCAUACAGGUGAACUCCUCCUGGGAUGAAUACCUGUCUCAGGUGAGAUGCCUUGAUGUGAGAAGGGUUCCUGGAGUAAGUCUUGGCCAGCUCCUGAUCCAGCUGCCCAGGUUAAAGAUGCUGGUGUGGAUGGCUGCACUGUACUGAGUCAUGGCAGGUAGCCAGAGGCCUGGGUUCUGAAGUGCCUGGAAUG
ensembl:lncRNA